UACGUAGGGGGCAAGCGUUGUCCGGAAUCAUUGGGCGUAAAGAGCGCGUAGGCGGCCCGAUCAGUCCGCUGUGAAAGUCAAGGGCUUAACCCUUGAAUGCCGGUGGAUACUGUCGGGCUAGAGUGCGGUAGAGGAGAGUGGAAUUCCCGGUGUAGCAGUGAAAUGCGUAGAGAUCGGGAGGAACAUCAGUUGCGAAGGCGGCUCUCUGGACCAGCACUGACACUGAGGCACGAAAGCGUGGGGAGCAAACAGG
rnacentral:rRNA from 1 species